CCUACGGGUGGCAGCAGUGAGGAAUAUUGGUCAAUGGCCGGAAGGCUGAACCAGCCAUGCCGCGUGAAGGUCAGUGCCCUAUGGGCGUUAAACUUAUUUUGUGCGGGAGCAAUAAUGGUCACGUGUGGCCAGACGAGAGUACCGUACGAAUAAGCAUCGGCUAACUCCGUGCCAGCAGCCGCGGUAAUACGGGGGAUGCAAGCGUUAUCCGGAUUUAUUGGGUUUAAAGGGUGCGUAGGCUGUGAGGUAAGUCAGCGGUGAAAUGCCCCCGCUCAACGGGGUGAAGUGCCAUUGAUACUGGCUGGCUGGAAUGCGGAUGACGUGGGAGGAAUGUGUGGUGUAGCGGUGAAAUGCAUAGAUAUCACACAGAACACCGAUUGCGAAGGCAUCUCACGAAUCCGCGAUUGACGCUGAUGCACGAAAGCGUGGGUAUCAAACAGGAUUAGAUACCCGAGUAGUC
rnacentral:rRNA from 1 species